GACCGAAAUUAUGCCCUCCCGCAGCCGUAGAAACCGAUUUGCCGACCUCUGAACAUGAUUGAGAACUUGUACGGCGUGGCAGAAUUUGCGGCGAUGCUGACCAUGGACCUGGCUACGGCAUAUCGGGGUCUAUCGUUGCUGCCUGCCGUACUUGACAGAAAUGACACGCAGGGCACGGCAAGAACACAUGCCAUCAUAUCUGGUUGAGGUUGAGAACCAUUCCGGUUACCGAUCAACAGCAGACGUACGCGGAUAGUUAUCACAGCUACGUUAGCACAUACAUUCCCCAAACAUGCGGGAAUCCUUGCCGCUGAACUGAAAUCUCUCAAUUUCUCUAUCUCUCGCCCAGUACCGGUAUACCAAUGUUUCCACAAUUGCACGGUUCGGAACAAAUAGUGCAGAUAAAUGCAAUAAUUCGGCCACCAUUAUGGCUGCCACGGUUUGGCGUGCAGGGGUUGGUGCUGGCUGGCUGGCUGGCUGGCUGGCUGGCUGGCUCCUUUGUGCAAUCUGGUCUUCUUAUCGAUAAGCCAGCAAACCGGCACGAUGAGCGGCCGCGGUCGGGACCUUGGUCGACGCAAUUGCUAUGCGUGGUAAUGUGCAGGGCCAAGCACGGCGAGUAAACGCCGCUAUAAACCAAUUUUUCACUGGUGAAGAGCCUGUAUACAGUAAGCCUUACCUUGCUUGGCCUGCGUCGCCAGCAGCAGUGACUGUGCCGCCGACCCUGCUGGCGGUUUGCAUCUCUCAGAAUAUCGGUGACACGCUUGACACGUCAGUGAUCCCAUGAUGGGAAGUCUUAUCUUCAAA
rnacentral:lncRNA from 1 species